AUUGAACGCUGGCGGCAGGCUUAACACAUGCAAGUCGAGCGAGUGGCGGACGGGUGAGUAAUGCCUGGGAAACUGCCUGAUGGAGGGGGAUAACUACUGGAAACGGUAGCUAAUACCGCAUACCAUCAGAUGGGCCCAGGUGGGAUUAGCUAGUAGGUGGGGUAAUGGCUCACCAAGGCGACGAUCACUAGCUGGUCUGAGAGGAUGACCAGCCACACUGGAACUGAGACACGGCCCAGACUCCUACGGGAGGCAGCAGUGGGGAAUUUUGCACAAUGGGCGCAAGCCUGAUGCAGCCAUGCCGCGUGUGUGAAGAAGGCCUUCGGGUUGUAAAGCACUUUCGGCAGGGAGGCGUUACUUGCAGAAGAAGCACCGGCUAACUCCGUGCCAGCAGCCGCGGUAAUAC
rnacentral:rRNA from 1 species